UACGUAGGGUGCGAGCGUUAAUCGGAAUUACUGGGCGUAAAGUGUGCGCAGGCGGCCGAGCAAGUCGAGUGUGAAAGCCCCGAGCUUAACUUGGGAACUGCGCUCGAAACUACUUGGCUAGAGUGUGGCAGAGGGAGGUGGAAUUCCGCGUGUAGCAGUGAAAUGCGUAGAUAUGCGGAGGAACACCGAUGGCGAAGGCAAUCCCCUGGACCUGUACUGACGCUCAUGCACGAAAGCGUGGGGAGCAAACAGG
rnacentral:rRNA from 1 species